UGGACCUACGGGGGGCAGCAGUGAGGAAUAUUGGUCAAUGGCCGGAAGGCUGAACCAGCCAAGCCGCGUGAAGGACGAAGGUGCCAAGCAUUGGAAACUUCUUUUGUCAAGGGACAAAAUCAGGCUCGAGAGCCUGACCGAGGGUACUUGAAGAAAAAGCAUCGGCUAACUCCGUGCCAGCAGCCGCGGUAAUACGGAGGAUGCGGGCGUUAUCCGGAUUUAUUGGGUUUAAAGGGUCCGUAGGCGGACUGUUAAGUCAGCGGUAAAACCCCGGGGCUCAACCCCGGCGCGCUGUUGA
rnacentral:rRNA from 1 species